GUAUGUGUAUGAGAUUGAUUUAGAAUCAACUUAUAAAGAUACUUAUAUUCCAUUACAUGAAAGCUAUGCUUGAAAGAAAAUAUUCCGAUCAAUUGGUGAUAGCAUACAUUGGCUUUAAAAGACAGGCUAUAUUAGCAUAGAUGAAUGGUGUAUAUAGUGCUUGCCCGUUAACCAUUGCUCGAGUCUUGUACCUGCCGUCAACAGGAAGGAAAGAACCUACGACCCAGGCGGACGAACAACCUAGCCGUACACUGCAGACAGGACCAGAGGCCUAUAGAGGAACAAAAAUAAUCAAGCGACUGUAUGUAAAACAAUAAGCAGAUGGUACACCACUGGGAGAGACUGUAUUUGAUACAUAUAACAAUUGAGCAUAUUUUUGGAACACCAACUGGACCAUGAAACAAACAUAUAUAGCAAGCCAAGAAAAGGAGGAAUCAUGAUGCCACAAUGAAAAGAGUAAGUCCAAUGGACACAACUACAGAAGUACAUGUCAUAGGACAAGAUGCAAAAUCUAUAUAUCAAUUAGAUAUAGAAACAAAAACAGGAAAGAGUAAUCAUAAUGAUCUGAGUAUGUUGUAGAUUUCCUACUGAAAUUAUAAUUUAAUCAAUUUAAUGUCAAGAGAAAUGCAAUGAGGAAAGGGCCUGUAACAUGGAGUUGGUCCAACCCAGCCUCUCUAAUUCAUGAAACAGUAAGUUAAUUGUCACAGUCUUCUAGUUAUUAAUGGUCCUGCGUCACUAAUCUCAACAAACGCCAAAAGUUUGUGAUCCCAUGAAUGUACUAAGCGAUUUCCAUCAAGCCUAGACCAGCUCUCUUAGAUACCCCUGCCAAAAAUAGGAAAAUGGAACUAUGAAUACUCUCAGCUUACACAAAAUAAAAAACUAUGCAGGACAUGAUAGACACUUAGAAUUGCAAAGUUCAUUCGAUGUCAUAAAGCAAAAGACUAAGAACCAUUAUGUACCAACCUGGACGUUGCCUCUUACUCCCUUAGAUAUCAUGGUUCAACAAAUAAACCUCUUACUCCCUAGAAAUAGUAAAUCCUGCCUUCAUCAAUUACAGGGAGGAGCUUCCAACUGGAUUUGAAGGACCAUUUGUAUUAUACCCCCCCUAUACCAGUAUAAAAAACAACAAUCUUUUCACCAUCAAUAGUUAUCCUGCAACAUCAUUCAACUCUCACAUGAUUUAGAGAGAGUAGUAAUGAAGCACAGAUAAUAACAUUUGUCAGAAAAGAGUAGGAGAGAAACAAACAGAGUACAAUUUGAAUGCUCAGAACAAUCAAAUUAAACACUACAGGGAAAACUAAGAACAAUCAACCUUAACUACUGUAGGGAAGAUAAAAGUCGUCUCAAAUUAACUGCUAUUGGCUUUACUAAUCUACUAUUGUUCAGACUG
rnacentral:lncRNA from 1 species